rnacentral:lncRNA from 1 species
CUUUUCUGAUCUAAUUAUCAUAAAUACUGAAACUGAAUGGGUUCGUUUCAAUUUAUCCUUAAGAAACAAGUAAAGGGAGAGAUUGAUAUAUUAUAAUUAGUUCAAUGCUAACUGGAAUAUAAGAAAUUGGAAAUUAAAGAAGCCAACCUUGACGAGUUGUAAUAUGAACUCUUUGCAAAUCCAUUGUUUAUAAACAUGGUGAUUAACCAAGUGAAGUGGAGAACAAAAAUUUAUGUCACAAAUAAAAGAUUGAGCCGUCCCGCCAAUAUCACACCAUCGCCACCGCCGCCGCCACCGUCACGAGCCACCUAGGUAACAGAAGAGGAGAAAGAAACCAAACCCCAUUUGCAAAUAUGGAUUUUGGGAACCAGCACAACUCAAAAAAGAGCCAGAAAAAACAGGCAAUUUCUCCACCACCAUUUUCUUGAAAGCUGCACAAGAAAUUGUAGCAUCAGGCUUCAUUAUAUGCCAAAACUUCCCUUGUCGCCACCAGCAAAACCCUCUUACCCUGCGAACACAAAAUACACGGGUUUUUUCAACUUCCAUUUUCAAGAUAAUUUAAAGGGGUUUCUUGGUUCAUCUUGAAGAAAUGAAAUGUUGGAAAACAAAGGCAAAUUUUCUUUUUUGGGAUUGGAAACCAUGUUCUCUCUUAUUCAAAGGCUUUGAUAGGUAUUUUUGUCCUAUUUCUUCAGUGGCAGGACAAGAAGAGACUCAGGACAUGAGGCAUUUGCUUUGUGUCUGUAUAUGUAUAUUGGAUUACACUGGUGACUGUGUCUCAACAUAACAUGGCCAAGUAAAUAAGCACGGAAAUAUGGGUUCGGUCUCUGUACGGUUUGUACACGUACAUUGAUAUAUAUGCAUCAACACAUAUGCCCCCCCACCCACUUGUCUACUAUUUUAAACACUACUUCACCCAAAGUCCUGAAGCCAGUUUAGCUAGAUUUGCGCAAGCAAUCUGUGUCCUGUUUUGGUUCCCUUUGUUAGCCUUGAAAAUUGAAGAAAUCCCUUUCUAUCCUCUCCUCGUGUUGACCAAUCACCAUUUCAGACUGUUUCAGCUAUGUGGUAUUUUUAUGUUAAGUGAGGGGAGACGAUGGGGUAGGGGUACCUGACUCUGCUGACAAAUGACAGGCAGCAAUUCCGAGGCCUUCCUUCUUUUUUUUCGAGACUGCAACCAAGCCCUACUCCAAUACUACAAGAUUAUUUUGUGGCCUAAAAUUCGUUCGUUCGUGGAUUGUUUAAAGGGAGGCGUGAUUGUUUAAAGGUUAAAGGGAGGCGUGUUUUGCAGCUAAUUAGCCUACUCUAAAGAGGUUGCUUUUCCCAAAGAAUUGCUUUGACCUUUCAGUCAAAUUAAUAAUCCCUUUUUAAUUAAUUAUUAUCAAUAAUGCUUCAUAUAUACCAUAAUGUACAACUUUAUGAACACUUCGUCACAUGUUAUGCUUUGAUUUGACAGUUAAAAAAAAAAAUCAGACUUUCUAUCAAUCACAUAUUAUAAACUCGAAUGAUGGCACAAUGAUGCAUAAAAAAAGUGUACAAUUAACUUUAGUCAAUUAUUAUUUACCAAAUUAAAUUGUCUUUGUUCGAGCCCUACAAUUGAAGAAAAUACAUUUUUAGACAAUAUUUUGAAAUUUUUUCAACAACACAAAUAAGGGCGCAGAGUGAUGCUACACGUAAGCAUACACACGGGUUUAUACCUCACUCACAUGAAUGGAGCUCACAUACAAUAAAUUAUGCGUGAGCCCCCAUGUAAAAGGAGUGUAACCCCAUGUGGACAUCUUGAUGUGUACAAACAAUAUUACCCUUAGAUAUAUGGGUAUGUAGAAAUAAUUUUAAGAAGAAAAAAAAUAAUUAGAUAAUUAUAAGAUAAAAUUGAUGUAUAUAAUUACAUGAUUAGUAAGAUAACCAUGGAGUUAAUAUUCAUUUCAUGGACAUAUCACGUAAGGUUUUUUAAAUCAUAGUAUAUUGAUCAAAAUGUGAAGAUUUAAUUCUCUGCUUGUGAAAAAUGUGGUUCCACAUAUAGAUGAGGUUUCAAAAAAAUAAAAUAAAAUAAAAUUAGUCAUCCAUUUUACUUUACUGAAUUUGGUAUAAUUAAAUAAUAAAUUAUUUUAGAUAGUGAGAUAAUUUAAACACCAAGAAUGCAUUACACAAAAUGUUAAUUAAAUUUAGAAUCUGCAUUAUUCAAACUGGUAUUUUGGACUAAAUUAAAUCAAUAUAAAUAAUACUUCCCAUCAAAUCCAAAAUACUGAAUAAUGCAGCUCAAUUUCAAGUGUUCAUGGUAUGUUUGGCUUGGUAUGAGUGUCCCAUUUUCCAAAUAAUCAUCAAUAUCUAUGUAGUAAGAGACAGAAUAUUUCCAAUACAAAUUAAUCAGAAUUCAGACAAAAGUAUCAUUUUUUUGUUUCUGGUAAAACUUUGCACAUGGAAGAGAGAAAUAGGGUUAGUUAAGGAACAAAAAAUGGCAAAUAACCAACACAGAGACAAAAAUGAAUCAAGAAAAAGAAGCCCAUAACAUGUAUGGGUUCUAUUUUUCUCAUCGGGCAUGAGAAAAUGAUAGGCUGUAAGAAAGACAAAAACGAAUACAAUUAAUGUCUGAAGAAGAUGUGAACUCAACAUUGAAAAUAAUACAAGUCUGAAGAUAUCAAUCGUUUUCAUCGAAGAUAUUCACAAUAUCAAAUUAUUAUGUAUGUAAUGUAUAUAACAGCAAUACCAUUGCCCACUUUCCUUCUUCUUCACCAAAAGAGAAAUAGUACACACAGUUACAUAUACAGUACCUUUUAGUUUUGUCUGAGCAACAAGAAAUUUGUGUAUGGAGACAUCAUGAUUUGCAAAUACCUGAAACUCUCCUUCUACAUGUAAUUCAUUGGACUCUGUGUGUGAGAGAGAGAGAGGGGGGGAGAGAGAGAGGACAACAUCUAUAGGCUUUGAUAGGUAUUUUUGUCCUAUUUCUUCAGUGGCAGGACAAGAAGAGACUCAGGACAUGAGGCAUUUGCUUUGUGUCUGUAUAUGUAUAUUGGAUUACACUGGUGACUGUGUCUCAACAUAACAUGGCCAAGUAAAUAAGCACGGAAAUAUGGGUUCGGUCUCUGUACGGUUUGUACACGUACAUUGAUAUAUAUGCAUCAACACAUAUGCCCCCC